GGUCAGGUAGCUCAGCCGGUAGAGCAGGGGACUGAAAAUCCCCGUGUCGGCGGUUCGAUUCCGUCUCUGACCA
rnacentral:tRNA from 1 species